rnacentral:rRNA from 1 species
GACUCUUGGCAACGGAUAUCUCGGCUCACGCAUCGAUGAAGAACGUAGCAAAAUGCGAUACUUGGUGUGAAUUGCAGAAUCCCGUGAACCAUCGAGUUUUUGAACGCAAGUUGCGCCCGAAGCCUUUUGGUCAAGGGCACGUCUGCCUGGGUGUCACAC